GAUGAACGCUAGCGACAGGCCUAACACAUGCAAGUCGAGGGGUAUAGUAGCAAUACUAGAGACCGGCGCACGGGUGCGUAACGCGUAUGUAACCUGCCUCACACUGGGGGAUAGCCUUCCGAAAGGGAGAUUAAUACCGCAUAACAUCAAGCGACUACCUGGUUGCUUGAUUAAAACUUCGGUGGUGUGAGAUGGACAUGCGUAUGAUUAGCUAGUUGGCGGGGUAACGGCCCACCAAGGCGACGAUCAUUAGGGGUUCUGAGGGGAAGAUCCCCCACACUGGUACUGAGACACGGACCAGACUCCUACGGGAGGCAGCAGUGAGGAAUAUUGGUCAAUGGGCGAAAGCCUGAACCAGCCAUGUCGCGUGCAGGAAGACGGCCCUAUGGGUUGUAAACUGCUUUUGUAUGGGAAGAAACGAACGGU
rnacentral:rRNA from 1 species